AACGAACGCUGGCGGCAUGCCUAACACAUGCAAGUCGAACGAGACCUUCGGGUCUAGUGGCGCACGGGUGCGUAACGCGUGGGAACCUGCCCUUAGGUUCGGAAUAACUCCCCGAAAGGGGUGCUAAUACCGGUUAAUGUCUUCGGACCAAAGAUUUAUGGCCUUUGGAUGGGCCCGCGUUGGUUUAGCCAGUUGGUAGGGUAAAAGCCUACCAAGGCGACGAUGCAUAGCUGGUCUGAGAGGAUGAUCAGCCACACUGGGACUGCGACACGGCCCAGACUCCUACGGGAGGGAGCAGUGGGGAAUAUUGGACAAUGGGCGAAGGCCUGAUCCAGCAAUGCCGGGUGAGUGGUGAAGGGCUUAGGGUUGUAAAGCUCUUUUACCCGGGAUGAUAAUGACGGUACCGGGAAAAUAAGCACCGGCUAACUCCGUG
rnacentral:rRNA from 1 species